rnacentral:rRNA from 1 species
GACGAACCGAGCGAACGUUGUUCGGAAUCACUGGGCUUAAAGGGCGCGUAGGCGGGUGCUCAAGUCUGUGGUGAAAUCCUCCGGCUCAACCGGAGAACUGCCAUGGAUACUGGGUGCCUCGAGGGUGGUAGGGGUAUGCGGAACUAUCGGUGGAGCGGUGAAGUGCGUUGAUAUCGAUAGGAACUCCGGUGGCGAAGGCGGCAUACUGGACCACAUCUGACGCUGAGGCGCGAAAGCCAGGGGAGCGAACGGG